GUCCUCGUGGCUCAAUGGUAGAGUAGGUGACUCUUAAUCACUUGGUUGUGGGUUCGAAUCCCGCCGGGGACA
rnacentral:tRNA from 1 species